UUUUCAAUUUCAGUGUCUUUGGGUAUAUUUUGCUUGUUUGUUUGUUUUGUUGAUUAGGUUCCUGUUAAAGGUGAGAUCAUAUGGUAUUUGUCUUUUACUGCCUGGCUUAUUUCGCUUAAGCUUGUUUCAUAGAGAUUCUUCAAUGUAGGAUGGCUGAAGUUAAAAUUAGAAAGCUAACAAUCAUUAUGAAGUAGUUUCCCCUUCCCCGUAGUUUCACUCUCUGAGAUUUCAGUUACCUGCAGUCAACCAUGGACUGAAAAUAUUAAAUGAAAAAUCCCAGAAGAAAACCAUUCUUAAGUUUUAAAUUGUGCACCAUUCUGAACAGCAUGAUGAAAUUUCACAGGGUCUUGCUCAGUCCCACCCGGAACACCUGUGAAUCAGCCCUUUAUCCAGUGUUUCCACGCUAUGAACACUCCCCAUCUGUCAGUCAUUUACUAGCUGCCAUCUCGAUUAUCAAAUCAACUGUGCAUAUUGCAGUGCUUGUGUUCCAGUAACCCUUAUUUUUCUUAAGAAUGUCUCAUUCAUCUCACUUCACAUCAUUAAAUAGACAUUUUAUCAUCUUACAUCACCACAGAAAGAGAGGUGACUACUGAACAUUAUUUUGAGAGAUCACAUUCACAAAACCUUAUUACAGUAUAUUUUCAUAAUUGUUUUACUUCAUUUUUAAUUAUUGUUAAUAUCUUACUGUGCCUAAUUCAUAAAUUAAAUUUAUUAUAGGUAUGUAUGUAGAGGAAAGAGUAUGAUAUAUUUAGGGUCUGGUACCACCUUGGAUAAAGAAAACUACUAUAAUCAUCUUUAUAUCCAUCAAGAGUAGAUAUUUGAUAAAUGAGUAAAUGAAAUUACCAUCCCCCUCAACAUGCAUCUCCCCAACAGGAGAUAAGGAGAACCAAUUGGAAGGCAUGGGCUUGAAGUGACGAAUCAUUUGGCCCAAAGGGGACUUUGUGUAUCGACCUAUCACUGGUAUCAAAAAGCAGUGCACAAUCUAGCCUUAGGAGUUAUUGUAUUAGUACUUGGGAAUUCUAUUCUGCUGUAAGAAAGAUGACUUAUCUCAAGAUAUUUACCAGGAAAACAAUACUGAAUCUUUUGAUUUUCUUUCUUCCCUGGGAGAAAUAAAUCUCAUUUUAUCUUAGUUUUCUCUGGCAUUUGUGGAAAUGGCAUGAGUGUGGCACUCUGGAGCAAUCAUGUUCAUUUCCCUGGGAUGUGGGUGGCAUCCAAACCUCAGUGUUUUGUGUUGAAGACACUGGCAGGGCACCCAGUGUGCCUGUGGCACCUGACACAUUUCCUCCCAUAAAACAAAGCCGACUGCCACAAAAUAAAGGCAUUUGCAUUUCAUGCCAUUUAUGUUUUAUGAAGUUGUUUAAAUUAUGCUGAUGGCAAAUUAACAUGAUGCUAAAUGCCAUACCCUGUGACGGGAACUACAGUAUUUCCUUAGGGAGGCAGUGUUUCAGAAAUUUAUGUUGCAGACAGGACACUGGAAAUAACUUGAAUGCAGAUGUCUCAGAAGCACUGAAAGCAUCUCUAUAAAUACACUAGAUAAAUAAGUAAAUAAGAUUG